rnacentral:lncRNA from 1 species
CAGAAACGUUGGAACACGGGCAUGACAUAGUUCAGGUAGUGAGUGAGCUAUCAGGUGGAUAUGGAUUAACACCAAGGGCAAGCAACCCUCGAAAUGUCACAUGUCAACACACCCUAUUUCAUGGCCAUGGCUCAGAAAGGCAGUUCUGCAGUCAUUCUUCAAUAACCCGUAAGUAUAUGCUCACUGCUCAAUACAGAUCACUGUAUCAGUACAUAUGUGAAGUCUGUUUGCCAGCACAGGUAUUUGGUAAUCCAGAGGAGUAAAUUAUACACUUUAUUGCUCUGUUAAUGAGAAGCCCACAAAUAGCUUCACUAUUAUAGUCACAAUUGUAAA